UGGGGAAUAUUGCACAAUGGGCGCAAGCCUGAUGCAGCGACGCCGCGUGAGGGAUGGAGGCCUUCGGGUUGUAAACCUCUUUCGCCAGUGAAGCAGGCCAUCUUCUUUGUGGGGUGGUUGACGGUAGCUGGAUAAGAAGCGCCGGCUAACUACGUGCCAGCAGCCGCGGUAAUACGUAGGGCGCGAGCGGUGUCCGGAAUUAUUGGGCGUAAAGAGCUCGUAGGCGGCUGGUCGCGUCUGUCGUGAAAUCCCCUGGCUUAACUGGGGGCUUGCGGUGGGUACGGGCCGGCUUGAAUGCGGUAGGGGAGACUGGAAUUCCUGGUGUAGCGGUGGAAUGCGCAGAUAUCAGGAGGAACACCGGUGGCGAAGGCGGGUCUCUGGGCCGUUACUGACGCUGAGGAGCGAAAGCGUGGGGAGCGAACAGG
rnacentral:rRNA from 1 species